rnacentral:tRNA from 1 species
CGCGGGGUAGAGCAGCAGUAGCUCGUCUGGCUCAUAACCAGGAGGUCGUGUGGUGCAAAUCCCACCCCCGCAA